rnacentral:rRNA from 1 species
GUAGGUCCCAAGGGUAUGGCUGUUCGCCAUUUAAAGUGGUACGCGAGCUGGGUUUAGAACGUCGUGAGACAGUUCGGUCCCUAUCUGCCGUGGGCGCUGGAGAACUGAGGGGGGCUGCUCCUAGUACGAGAGGACCGGAGUGGACGCAUCACUGGUGUUCGGGUUGUCAUGCCAAUGGCACUGCCCGGUAGCUAAAUGCGGAAGAGAUAAGUGCUGAAAGCAUCUAAGCACGAAACUUGCCCCGAGAUGAGUUCUCCCUGAGACUUUAGGUCUCCUGAAGGAACGUUGAAGACGACGACGUUGAUAGGCCGGGUGUGUAAGCGCAGCGAUGCGUUGAGCUAACCGGUACUAAUGAACCGUGAGGCUUAACCUUACAACGCCGAAG